UACAGAGGGGGCAAGCGUUGUCCGGAAUCAUUGGGCGUAAAGCGCGUGUAGGCGGUCCGGUAAGUCCGCUGUGAAAGUCGAGGGCUCAACCCUCGAAUGCCGGUGGAUACUGUCGGGCUUGAGUACGGGAGAGGCGAGUGGAAUUCCUGGUGUAGCGGUGAAAUGCGCAGAUAUCAGGAGGAACACCGAUUGCGAAGGCAGCUUGCUGGGCCAUUUCUGACGGUCAUGGACGAAAGCGUGGGGAGCGAACAGG
rnacentral:rRNA from 1 species